rnacentral:rRNA from 1 species
UACGAAGGGUGCAAGCGUUACUCGGAAUUACUGGGCGUAAAGCGUGCGUAGGUGGUUCGUUAAGUCUGAUGUGAAAGCCCUGGGCCCAACCUGGGAAUGGCAUUGGAUACUGGCGACCUAGAGUGCGGUAGAGGGGUGUGGAAUUCCCGGUGUAGCAGUGAAAUGCGUAGAUAUCGGGAGGAACAUCUGUGGCGAAGGCGACACCCUGGACCAGCACUGACACUGAGGCACGAAAGCGUGGGGAGCAAACAGG